rnacentral:rRNA from 1 species
AUUGAACGCUGGCGGCAGGCCUAACACAUGCAAGUCGAGCGAGCGGCGGACGGGUGAGUAAUGUAUGGGGAUCUGCCUGCUAGAGGGGGAUAACUACUGGAAACGGUGGCUAAUACCGCAUACCAUCAGAUGAACCCAUAUUGGAUUAGCUAGUAGGUGGGGUAACGGCUCACCUAGGCGACGAUCGCUCGCUGGUCUGAGAGGAUGAUCAGCCACACUGGGACUGAGACACGGCCCAGACGCCUACGGGAGGCAGCAGUGGGGAAUAUUGCACAAUGGGCGCAAGCCGGAUGCAGCCAUGCCGCGUGGAUGAAGAAGGCCUUCGGGUUGUAAAGUACUUUCAGUAGGGAGGCGUUACCCACAGAAGAAGCACCGGCUAACUCCGUGCCAGCAGCCGCGGUAAUUC